AGCAUGUGGUUUAAUUCGAUGAUACGCGAGAACUUACCGGGUUUGACAUGCAGGUGAUCGCCGUUGAAAGACGGUUUCCUCUUCGGAGGCACCUGCACAGGUGCUGCAUGGCUGUCGUCAGCUCGUGUCGUGAGAUGUUGGGUUAAGUCCCGCAACGAGCGCAACCCUUGUCUUUAGUUGCCAUCAUUCAGUUGGGCACUCUAAAGAGACUGCCGGUGUCAAACCGGAGGAAGGUGGGGAUGACGUCAAGUCCUCAUGGCCUUUAUGACCAGGGCUACACACGUACUACAAUGGCCGGUACAAAGGGCAGCCACUUAGCGAUAAGGAGCCAAUCCCGUAAAGCCGGUCUCAGUCCGGAUUGGAGUCUGCAACUCGACUCCAUGAAGUUGGAAUCGCUAGUAAUCGCAGAUCAGCACGCUGCGGUGAAUACGUUCCCGGGCCUU
rnacentral:rRNA from 1 species